CAACCUAGUAAAUGCUACAAUUGCAAUGUUUUGGGGGGAGAUAUGUGUAAAUACAUUAUAUAUAUAAGCUUAAAAUGUUCUAAAUAGGAUAUUUAUAACUAUAGAAAUAGGAUUUUGAACACCUGGAUUUUGUUUUAUGAGAUCAUGGAGUACUCUUUUAUUUACUUUUUUUUCCUCCUUGGCUGGAUCUUCAUCUAACUCUCUGCCCUGUGACUCCUUGUAUGUUUUCUUAAGGCUCUGACCUCAGCCUUAUCUUCUCUCUUUGCUCGCUGAUAGUUUCUGGAAGAUCUUAGUUUUGUCCGAAGUGUCGAUUGCCACUUAUGUGUCAAAAGACCUGUGAAUAUACCUGUGCUGCCUCUGCUCUUGACUGAGCUCUGAACGUGAGGGCAGUCCCACGGGUAAAGGACACUCUCCAAGUUAGAAGCCUACUAGUGAAGCAGUUCGUUUUUGUAACUCUGAGCUUAUGCAUCCAGUGGUGAGUGCCUUCACAGUAUUAAUCCUUUUCUCGUUGCUGUUCGUGCGGACACAGCAUGAGUAUGUUUGCAUGGACUGUCGAGGGAGCGUACUGACGGGAACUGUAGCUCUCUGUAGACUUUCUCAACUCCACCCCCCCCCCCCCCCCCCAGGGAGAAUUGGCUACUCGUUUAUUUAUCCCACAUUUCCAUCACGAAGCCUAUAAUGGUAUCUAUUUACCUGCCUGACUUCUUCUGAUGUGAGCGCCCUUGCUGUCGUUACUAAAGCCAAGCGUCCUCCCUGUCCGCGUCGCUGUCUGGCACGUAGGAGGGGCUCAGCAAGGUUCGAGGAGUCACUGCAUCACCCACAGCCAGUGUCUUCGUUUUGUGCCUGGUCGUGGAACUGCAUGAGCCCUCACACCAGUUGUGUGGGCAACCGUAUGGCAGAAAGGGUAUUUAAACUCUGAAGGUCUCCGUUCAUUGUCUGGCGGCUGUUGGUAUCAGGGAACAGGAUAGGCAAUAGAAGACGAGGAGUAGGUGGGGAAGGUUGUGGAGAUGGAAAGUUAUUUAGCUCUGGGAGCCUGUGCGGUAUCCACGUGGAUGAAAUCGAAAGGCAGGGAGGCGGGAGGGAGACCCUUCUUUACAGGAAAUACAGGCACAGUGAGCAUGAAGUAAUCAACUUUUAAAGGAAGUGAUUUUUUGAUUGUGGGUGCAUGAUAAUAAUACCUGGUAUUUCUGGAGUACUUGGAACGUGGCAAAGUGCUCUCUCCUAGCGCGUCUCAACAGUGGUCGGUGUGGAGUUGUUUCCAGACGACUUUGUGGGUCAUGCCAAGAUGACACAUACUUUAGACUGCCUCCUUGGGCAUGAGCGUGACAUUUGAGGGUUAAAUUUGGACGAACAUUGAGGAAGGGUGUGAAGAAUUUCCUCUCCCCCUCCCCCC